CCUACGGGAGGCUGCAGUGGGGAAUAUUGCACAAUGGGCGCAAGCCUGAUGCAGCCAUGCCGCGUGUGUGAAGAAGGCCUUCGGGUUGUAAAGCACUUUCAGCGGGGAGGAAGGCGUUAAGGUUAAUAACCUUGGCGAUUGACGUUACCCGCAGAAGAAGCACCGGCUAACUCCGUGCCAGCAGCCGCGGUAAUACGGAGGGUGCAAGCGUUAAUCGGAAUUACUGGGCGUAAAGCGCACGCAGGCGGUCUGUCAAGUCGGAUGUGAAAUCCCCGGGCUCAACCUGGGAACUGCAUUCGAAACUGGCAGGCUAGAGUCUUGUAGAGGGGGGUAGAAUUCCAGGUGUAGCGGUGAAAUGCGUAGAGAUCUGGAGGAAUACCGGUGGCGAAGGCGGCCCCCUGGACAAAGACUGACGCUGAGACACGAAAGCGUGGGGAGCAAACCGGAUUAGAUACCCGUGUAGUC
rnacentral:rRNA from 1 species